CAGUAGCCACGGGAAUACGAAGGGGGCUAGCGUUGCUCGGAAUGACUGGGCGUAAAGGGCGCGUAGGCGGCGAUCAAAGUCAGGCGUUAAAUUCCCGGGCUCAACCUGGGGGCUGCGUUUGAUACUUGGUUGCCUGUGUGGGGAAGAGGGUCGUGGAAUUCCCAGUGUAGAGGUGAAAUUCGUAGAUAUUGGGAAGAACACCGGUGGCGAAGGCGGCGACCUGGUCCUUGACUGACGCUGAGGCGCGAAAGCGUGGGGAGCAAACAGGAUUAGAUACCCGCGUAGUCCCUGUCUCUUAUAC
rnacentral:rRNA from 1 species